UUUUUUUUUUUUUUCGCAUUCCUUCAUUUAUAGCAAAGCGAAGUUCCCAACUGUACUUCCUAUUUUAAAUUCUUUGUUUUGUGGGCCUGAGUUUUAUUUACAAAGGGUGAAUAGGAGAAAAGUCUUAUAAAUUCCUAACUACUGGAAUAGAAAAUGUAUUAUAAUACUCAUGUUUGCUUAUCUUCUAAAUGAUCAGGAAAAGAAUGAGGUGAAAAGACUAAGCUUUCCCUCUUAGAAACAAGCAUUUCAUAUCUAAAUAAAUAAUGAUAUNNNNNNNNNNNNNNNNNNNNNNNNNGAAUAGUCCUUUAGAAAAAAAUACUGCUACAAUGCACUAUUACAAUGCACUACUAAAUAUACUAAUAUUAUACCUUACCUAAUAUUCUGCAAUAUAAAAAUUUAUUCCAUAGACAGUGUUUAUUAACACAAAAUAAUUAGUUGAAUUAAUCCAAAGUUAAACCAUUAUCAUUCACUUAAAAAGGCAAUUCAAUUUUAAGGACAAUUUAAAAGUAUACCACUUUGUUAUAACCUCCACUUCAAUAAUCUUAAUAUGUUUAUAAAGGCACAUAUGAAUGCUAAUUACAUGAUAAAUUAUGAAUAGCAUUUAAAGAAAUUAACAUUUCCUAGGUGAUUGUGAUCUAAUCAAUACAACACAUCUAAAUGUAAAAAGAAACAUCUUUGAUGAGCAUUGAAAAGAUCCUUAAACUUUGAAGCCAGUUUUAUUACAUUUGCAUCUUAUCUCUUAAGGAUUGGGUCUACAGCCAGCAAAUCCCAUCGGUUAUGAAUGCAGGUCAAGACAGGAACAUUUUUCUAUUUACUCUUUGUAACACUGGAUAGAAAUCAAUCUGUUACUUUCAUUACAACCACACAAUCAAUUCCAUUUAAAGUAUAAUACAACAGCCAAGUCCAAGGACAAUAUGGAUCCUUGGAAAAAGCUCAUGCCAUUUGCAGGGCUGUAUUUGAUACAGCUCCUGGUGAAUUGUUUUCUUUCUAAUUAGUGUACAUGGUCACUUAAAGCAAACAUGCCUAAACUGGUAUUACAACGUAGGAUCCAACCAAAAAUUAACAGUAUACUCUUUGUUAAAGUUGCAUUUAAAAAAUCAUUCUUUUUAAACAAUGAAAACCUUACAAGAAAGGAUUCGCUCUCAUUGACUCUGACGUGAGCAAGACAUUACCAUAUAACCAUCUUGAUAUUCAAAAAAAAGGUACACACAAUGAGAAUUCUACUUUGAAGUUAGUAUAUGAAAUCUUUACUUCAAAGGCCUUCUUUCUCUUAUCUCUCAAUAAAUGAUUUAAUUCUGUUCAACUUUAUCUUGCCUCAAAAUUAUCAAUACUUUUGCUUUUAGGAGUUCUCUUGCACAAAGCAUAGCUCAGUAAACAAAAGAAAUGUAGUCAUUGCGUAUUCCAUUUACACAUAAUAGAACCAUCAUUUCAAGUAUCUUUAAAUAUCAAAACUGAGAUAAUCUUUACAUUCAUACAUUAUGUGAAAACACAAGAUAAGCCACUGUACACCAAUACUAAUGGUAGUUGAAUGAAUUCUUUUUCCUUUAUUUUAUAAAUGAAGAUAUUUUCCUUUUACACAUCAGUUGCAAGCAUUAUGAUUUUCUCAAACAUAUAAUAAAUGAAUAUCUUUAAGAGAAGCACAAUUUACAAGUCUUGCAGAUAUAAUUUUUAAAAUAUAUUUGUUAUUCAAAUUCAUUCAACCUGUUCCACAUUAAAGAUAACAAAUUUAAAUCCAAUAAUUUUUGGUUGUCUUAGCAAAACAGUAUGUCAUUUAUGCAAAUCACAUGACCCUGAAAGUUUGGGCUUUGGGAAAGUUUUCUCCACUUAGAUAAAUCCAAUUCAAAUUGUAUUUCAGUAUUUUUUAUUUCUGCAAAAGAUUACAAGGACAUGUUUUUCUAUCACUAGUCAGCGGUGAGUUUAUUGUCACUAAUGUUAACACAAUUCCCUUUCUAGCAAUCGAAAGUGGUUCCUAGGGCUGGGCUUUCCUCAAACACAAUUUAUAAAGAAAGUUUGAGAUGUGCAGGUACUCUUGUAUGUUUUAGGGGUUCCUAAAUGUUUCUGACCAAAAAGGUGUGUCUUUAGUGCUAUAUUUCUUGCAUAAGUAAGUACAGGCCAAUGAAUCCAAUGUCAAAGUCUCUAGACAGAAUGUCUGUCACUGCCUAGGAGGCAUCCAUCUCACCUCCAGAACUCAGUUUCUGCUAAUCUUGAAUAGCUGUGAAUGGGACUACCCUUGAGAUGUGUGUCUUUUUUAUGGUCUUCACCACUGAGAGCAUCUAACUGUGUUCCCUUUCUUUCUUACCUACCUGCCAGGCUACCAUUUUAAGACUGGUCAGGCACCAUACCUACAGAUAAUUUGCAAAAAUCAUGGUCUCCCCACCCUGCAUCAUGCCCCACCGCUGUGAACUUAGAGCAAAUUCAAAAUGUGGAAGGUAAAAUUUCCUAGGCCAGGCCUGUUACAGCAGCUCAGAAGAAAGACACCUAGGAUAGACUAGGACAGACAGAGCCUUUUAGAGAAAAGCUUACCUCGGGCCAUUCACAAUACAAUUUCUUAAAAGUGAAAAAAUUAUUUCAGGUAGGUGGGCCAAAACACAAAAGGAAGAUGAGUAUCACUUUACAUUUAAAUGCAGGCAAGCAAACUAAGAAUACUUGUGUACUGAUUUGUAUAUAUUUGCUAGUUUUGAUUUUAACUCUUACGCUGUUUUUAAAUGUUUAUGAAGCCAUACAAGGAGUUCCUAAUAACUAUGGCUUUUAGACGUGCAUCCCUGACAGAGUAUUUAACAUUGUAUUUUAAGUUUUAUAUUCAAUUCAGAAAUGGGCUCAUCCUUCACAUUCUAUCGAAGGUUGUCUGGAAUGCAGAAUUUCCUAAAGGAAGCUCAGAAUCCCUAGCCGUAUUUUCUUAGUUUUUUUAUUUUUCGUCAACAUUUGAUAAACAACUAAAACUAAAAUGUAAUUUCUUUUUCCUUUUUCUAUUAAAAUUUGUUCAUGGAAGCUCAAUUUCCAUAUGUCAAAUGGCACUAUAUAUUGAAGAGAUCUUAAAGAAAUCUUUUUUACCAAUCUUAUUUACCAAAUUUACCAAGUAUAAUUUAGCAUUACUUUUCCAUUGGAUAAAUUACAUUUUGAUAAAAUUAAUGAGCUUGAAUUAAUAAAUUUCCAAAAGUCACAAUUUAAAAUAUUUUUAAUACCAAAACUUUAUACAUAAUAUUUCAUGUGUCACAAAAUCAUAGGCCUAUAGCAAAUAUAAUAUGCCUUGAGUGAACAAUAAAAACUUCAUAUACUUUCAUUGUAGAUCUGGACUGUAGGUGAAACCCAAUAUAUAAGCUGUAUAGUUCUCUAAUCAAAGAAAAUACGUGUCAUUAUGGUUUUAGGAAAAAAUAUAUAUCUAAGUUGAUACUAUUCUUCAUAGUAAAGCCUCAAGUUCAAAUCUAUUGCUAGGAGCCAGUGCACUGGCUCACACUUUUGAAUUUCUACCUAAUUUGAAAAAUACAAUUGAGGUAUUUGGAGUAUUAUAGUACUUGCUAUUAAAAGCCACUACAAUUGUAUAUAUUUGACUGUGAUAUGUUGUUUUGAAAAUGGAAAAAACAUUGACAUAUAAGCCUAUAUUUUACUUGCCAAAAAAGCUGAUUAAAUGUUGGCACCUGACAGUAUUUCUAGAGAGUGUUAUUUCUUCCAUAGAUUCAGACCCCAAAAAGUUAUAUAACAAUUUGAAAGAUUAAUAUGAUAUGCCCUGAAAACUUGUAAUAAACUGGCAACUGUUCUUUUGGGAUGUGAUUCCCAUUUAAUAGAGGCAUACUCUCAAAAAACAUUUUCUGAAAUAACUCAUAAGGUCCAAUGGAUAGUGACAACAUUUUGUAUCAAGUAGUCCGUUAGUCCUAAAUCCAUUCAUUCAUUCGACUAACUUUUUUUCAUUGCCUUUGUGCCUUCCCAGGUUUCAAGGUCAUUUAUCCAUUCAACAAAUAUUGCAGCAUGGCUAUUUAGCAAUGUUCCAGAUGCUAAACAUGUAAUUACAAAUUUUUAAAGAGUGAUUACAUACUAUGAUGAAAAAUAAUGGAAUGAGGAGGAGAAAGUUCCUACAUAGCAAAGGUAGUCAGGAAGGCCAAGAGGAAAGGUCUCCAGAGGCAAUGUGUGGAAUGGGAAUUAGAAAAUGAGAAUGACCUAGCCAUGGGAAGAAGAGCAUUUGGUUUCUCCACUAGCAUGUGAAGAACUCAAGGCAGAAAGAUACUCAGCAUACUGGAAACAGUAAGUGGAGCCCAGCACUGCAAUAGUAUAGCCAGAGAUCAAGGGAGGAAGGAUCUGGGGCCAGCUGGGAUGGAAGAGCAAGAAACUCACUGCUCAAGGACUUACAGGCCAUGGUGAAGAGUUUUUAUCUUAUUUCCAGGGCAGUAGAAAGGAUAGGAUAGUAUAGGAUAGGAUAGAUAGGAUAGAUAUAGAUAGAUAGGAUAGGAUAGAUAGGAUCUCUCAGGAAUGAAACACUCUGUGAAAUUUUUUUAACCUCCAAAAAUUCUGGGAACUUUGGUUAUAACCCAAUGUAUGAAGCAGCAGUUGUUAACAAUAUCAAAUGCAAUCCUAUAUGAUUAUUUGGGGAAUAAUUCAGGUCUCCUGAAUUUUCUCAACUGAAAAUUGCAUACUUUGGAUAUGAGUUUAUGGCUUUUGUUCCCUGGAACUACUGGAACAAGUAUCUUCCUGAAAGCAAAUGCUAACUUGGUUUGCUUCAGCUAACAGGUGAGGUACUUGCUUUUGGAAGCAAAGAUAGGUAACGUUCCCUAUAAGAACAGUUUUAUCCUAUGAGUUUGACUAUUCACAUAGUAAAACAAAUUCAUCAAUGAGAUUGUUUCAUUUAAUUGUAUCAGCUGUUUAAAUAUCCAACUGAAUAGUUUAAGGGCAUCACAAUGCAUUAAAAGGAUUGAAUAAGGUAUUUUGAGUUUAUUAAAAACUGUUGAAUAGUAUACGUUUAUAGAUUACUUCUUUAUAUUAGAAAUACAAACAUUAUUUUUAGUGAAGAGUAAGAAUAUUCAAAUAAAAUAUCAUUUAAGUUUUAAGAUUUUUUUAAGUUAACUGAUUAGCUCUCCUUUGGGAAGAUAAAAAUAUGUUCUUUAAAACCAAAAGGGGGGAGUUCUGUUGUGGCUCAAGGGAAACAAAUCUGACUAGUAUCCAUGAGGGUACAGGUUCAAUCCCUGACCUCGCUUGGUGGGCAAAGGAUCUGGUGUUGCCAUGAGCUGCAGUGUAGGUCAGCAGACAUGGCUUGAAUCCUGUGUUGCUGUGUCUGUGGCAUAGGCCAGAGGGUACUGCUCCAAUUAGACCCCUAGCCUGGGAACCUCCAUGUGCUGUGAGUGCAGCCCCCCAAAAAAAAGGAGCUCUAAAGAUUGGAUAAGCUGUUGGAAUCAAUAUUAGUAAGCUAAAACCAAAACCACAACUUUGAAAUUAAUAAAACACUACUAUUAAGCUAAAUUACAAGGUGUUUCUGCUGACUGAGAUAUUUAAUCACAAGUUUUAUUGUACUUUUUUAGCUCCUUAAAGACAAAUCAUUACAGCACUGUGAAUUCUAGAUAUUAAAACACAUGAUUAAUAGCAACAUGCUUUAAAAUUACCAUGGAAGUGCUGUAGUUGACAUUUUUAAUUGGGGCUUCCCUUAGUGAAUUUAUCACCAAACAAAUAUCUUUCGUCUCUUAAAAGAAUAAUAUCUAGAUUCACCCCUUCCUGGAGAUUUAUAUUUAACCAUGUGAAAGAUGAAAAUAAGGCUACGAGGAAUGCUUAAUACAUGUGCAUGUAGGAUUUUUCACUUAAUGUCGAGAGUGCACUUUUAUAAAUGCAUUCAAUAUUUUGGUUUCCAUUAAAAGUGUUUUGAUAUGAGUGAUCUAGACUUCUUUUUAUAUACUGAAAUGCCUUUUAAAUGUCCAAUCUGAUAAAGCAAAUUAAAAGUGAGAGAGUUAAAACUGUCACUUUAUAUAAGACCUUAUCAGUUUUAUGUAAAUAUCAACACACUACAUUAAAAGUUCUUUACUAAGGUAACUGCCUAUGAGACAGCAGAUCACUAAGUAAGUUUUGAGACAGACCUCCUUGUAAGAAUAUCAAAAUAGGUGACCCUGAACACACCGAAACUAUAAAUAAGGCUUGGAACGAGGAGUUGUGAGAGGGUUUUCUGAAGAAGAUUUCUCUGAGGAAUGCAAAUCUUCCCCUCCAGUCAAUUUUAGUGAAGCAGUUUCUGUAGGCACACCUUGACUUUGACUCCUGACUGGACAGUGACCAAUGACACACGCGGAUGAGCUAUCUGCUUUAGCAUCAGAUUUAAGGAGCGCUCCCCACAAGGUUGAUAUUUGCUUGAAUGUCCAGAGUUCGUUACUACAAAGAAUGUAUGAGUAUGAACCAUGGGACUAUAUAACUCCAGCAUGAAGAGGAGCUGUCUAAAGGAGCCCUUGGGAGGAUUGUGGAGGGCAUGAGAGUGUGUGGAAUAGAUGCCCCCAACAUGCAAGCUAACAGUAGUGCAGCUAAAAAAAAAACCUAUUCCCCAAUGCACAGGAAGUGUAUUUGACUGUUCUCAGUGGGGACCUCUAAUGUGCAUCCAAAAGCACCCUAAGAGAUUAAACUGACUACCUACCCUAAGAUAGUGGGAAGCCAGCUGAAGAAAAUAGUCAAAGGAGAACUUCCUUAUAUCCUAACUUCUGCCUAUUGCAACUUUGAUAUUGUGUUUUAGAAACUGCCCUUAGAAAGAUGCUGGAGGAGCAAUGCAAGGCCUAGAUGGAGAAGGACAGACGGUUUUCCCUUUUUCUCCCUUGGCCAUGGAAUAUUAGCUGUAGCAGAAAUGAGUUUAGAUGGAUAGGCAGCAGUCAGUUAUGCAAUGCCUCUAGGACAUUUAAGAACAUAAACUUUGUGUUUUAGUGCAUCUAUAGGUUCACAACAAAACUGAGUGGAGGGUACCAAGAUUUCCCAGUACUCCCUUCCCCUACAGUCAUAGCCUCCCUCAUUAUCAAUAUCUCUCAUCAGAAUGGAACAUUUCCUACAAAUGAUGGGCUUACACCGACACAUUAUUAUCACCCAAGUGCAUUAGGAUUCAUUCUUUGCAUUGAGCAAUCUCUGGGUUUCGGCAAAUGUAUAAUAACAUCUAUCAACCAUUAUUGUUUCAUACCAUAUAUUAUAUGAUACAUAUAUGGUGCAUGUAUGAUACUAUGAUAGUGAAUACAUGUCUUCACACAUACCAUAGUAUUAAAAUAUAGAAUAGCUCCACCACUCUAAAAUUCUCUGUGCUCUGCCUAGUCAUCACUAGCCCCUGGCAACUACUGAUCUUUUUAUUGUUUCCAUAGUUUAAUCUUCUCCAGAAUGCCAUAAAGUUGAAAUCAUAUAGUAUGUAACCCUUUUUCAGAUUGGCUUCUUUUACUUAAUAAUAUACAUUCAAGUCUUUUCAUGACUUGAUAGCUCACUUAGUUUUAGCAUUGAGUAAUAUUCCAUUACUGACAUGACGGAAUUUAUGAUUUAAAAAAUAUAAACCCAGCUUAUUUAUGGGGAAAAGGUUAGAGAGGGAUAAGAAUAAAUUUCAAGAAAACAGUUGGGGUGCUAGUGCAAUUGCUCUGGUAUGAGAGGAGAAAGCCACAUUCUGGGGUGGCAGCAAUGGAGAUGAACUGAAUAAGAUGAUUUAAGACUGUGUCUAUGAGGUAAAAGUAGUAGUACUUGUCGAUGAAUCAGACUUGGGAAAUUAUAGAAAGAGGGGUCAAGAAUGACUUCUGGAUCUUUGGCUUGAGCAAUUGGAUGGAUGAGGGUAUUUAACAAGGGUGGGUGGUGAAACAAGGCUGGAGGUCCCACUGGAAUAGCUUGAUUCCAAGCCAAAAAUUCAGCCCCUCAGAAAAUUCUAUUAGAGGGAUAUAAAAAUCCUCACCAAGCAUAAAUCUCAUUUCCUUUUCCUUGCAGAUUGUUGGCCACUCCUCCUAGGCUCCAGGGAUAUGAAUAAUGCCCUUAAUAAUGUCAGAUAAUUUCCAUCGGUCCUUAAUUGCCCACUGAUCUGUUUCCCUGUCUUAACCAUCUUCUUGAUGGUGUUCCCAGCCACUACUAAACUUAACAUUUUACAGCCAGCAAUACUAUCAUUUUCCCUUUUUUCAAACUUUUCAUUUUUUGUUUUUUGCAAACUUCUAUUAUUUGCAAACACUUAUAUCAGGUAAAAUGGUCAAAGUUGUUUGUUGGAACCCUAAAUAAAUAGCAUAAAAGAUGCCAUAAUAGACUGCUAGCAUCAUUUACAGUAGGUUGUAUUCAUAGCUUUGGCUAACAUUGUAUGUAGCCCAUCACAUUAGUGCCCAUGGAUUAAAAGCUUAAAAGAGCAUUCAGAACAUAUAAAUAAUAAGCUAUAAUACUCUUUCUAUAUACAUUUUAAUUUUUUAUAAAAAUUAUUGAGAGACUAAUAGUAUUAAAAUCAGUCAGCGAUCAAUGUUAGUUUCUUGGUUUUGAUAAUAGGACUAUGGUUACAGAAGGUUAAUGUUGGGGGAAGCAGAGUCAAGAAUAUAUGGAAACUUGGAUAAGCAAUGAGAUCCUGUAGCACUGGGAACUAUAUCUAGUCACUUGUGAUGGAACAUGAUGGAGGAUAAUAUCAGAAAAAGAAUGUAUAUAUGUGUGUGUGUGUAUGUGUCUGUGUGUAUGUGUGUGUGAAUGAGUCACUUUGCUGUACAGUAGAAAAUUGACAGAGCACUGUAAACCAACUAUAAUGGAAAAAAUAAAAAUCAUUAAAGUCACAUAAAAAAGAAUAUAUGGAAACUCUAUGUACUAUUUUGUAACAUUUCUGUAGGUCUAAUAUUAUCUCAAAAUAAAAAGUUAAAAAGUAUAUCAUAAUUUCCAGGGCAAGGUUAAAAGGAAAAUAUAUAUACAAG
ensembl:lncRNA